UCGACCAAUAUCGUGUGUGCCAGGAGGU
rnacentral:piRNA from 1 species